rnacentral:rRNA from 1 species
GACAGAGGGUGCAAGCGUUGUUCGGAAUCAUUGGGCGUAAAGCGCACGUAGGCGGUCAUGUAAGUCAGAUGUGAAAGCCCAGGGCUUAACCUGGAAGUGCAUCUGAUACUGCAUGACUUGAGUCCCGGAGAGGGUGGUGGAAUUCCUGGUGUAGAGGUGAAAUUCGUAGAUAUCAGGAGGAACACCGGUGGCGAAGGCGACCACCUGGACGGAGACUGACGCUGAGGUGCGAAAGCGUGGGGAGCAAACAGG